UACAGGGGGGGCAAGCGUUGUUCGGAAUUACUGGGCGUAAAGGGCUUGUAGGUGGCCAACUAAGUCACACGUGAAAUCCCCAGGCUUAACCUGGGAACUGCGUGUGAUACUGGAUGGCUUGAAUCCGGGAGAGGGAUGCGGAAUUCCAGGUGUAGCGGUGAAAUGCGUAGAUAUCUGGAGGAAUACCGGUGGCGAAGGCGGCAUCCUGGACCGGCAUUGACGCUGAUGAGCGAAAGCCAGGGGAGCAAACGGG
rnacentral:rRNA from 1 species